GGGUUGUGAGGUUAAGCGACUAAGCGUACACGGUGGAUGCCCUGGCAGUCAGAGGCGAUGAAGGACGUGCUAAUCUGCGAUAAGCGCCGGUAAGGUGAUAUGAACCGUUAUAACCGGCGAUUUCCGAAUGGGGAAACCCAGUGUGAUCCGUCACACUAUCGUUAACUGAAUACAUAGGUUAACGAAGCGAACCGGGGGAACUGAAACAUCUAAGUACCCCGAGGAAAAGAAAUCAACCGAGAUUCCCCCAGUAGCGGCGAGCGAACGGGGAGCAGCCCAGAGUCUGAAUCAGCAUGUGUGUUAGUGGAACGGUCUGGAAAGUCCGACGGUACAGGGUGAUAGUCCCGUACACAAAAAUGCACAUGUUGUGAACUCGAAGAGUAGGGCGGGACACGUGGUAUCCUGUCUGAAUAUGGGGGGACCAUCCUCCAAGGCUAAAUACUCCUGACUGACCGAUAGUGAACCAGUACCGUGAGGGAAAGGCGAAAAGAACCCCGGCGAGGGGAGUGAAAAAGAACCUGAAACCGUGUACGUACAAGCAGUGGGAGCACCUUCGGGUGUGACUGCGUACCUUUUGUAUAAUGGGUCAGCGACUUAUAUUCUGUAGCAAGGUUAACCGUAUAGGGGAGCCGAAGGGAAACCGAGUCUUAACUGGGCGUUAAGUUGCAGGGUAUAGACCCGAAACCCGGUGAUCUAGCCAUGGGCAGGUUGAAGGUUGGGUAACACUAACUGGAGGACCGAACCGACUAAUGUUGAAAAAUUAGCGGAUGACUUGUGGCUGGGGGUGAAAGGCCAAUCAAACCGGGAGAUAGCUGGUUCUCCCCGAAAGCUAUUUAGGUAGCGCCUCGUGAAUUCAUCUUCGGGGGUAGAGCACUGUUUCGGCUAGGGGGUCAUCCCGACUUACCAACCCGAUGCAAACUGCGAAUACCGAAGAAUGUUAUCACGGGAGACACACGGCGGGUGCUAACGUCCGUCGUGAAGAGGGAAACAACCCAGACCGCCAGCUAAGGUCCCAAAGUCAUGGUUAAGUGGGAAACGAUGUGGGAAGGCACAGACAGCCAGGAUGUUGGCUUAGAAGCAGCCAUCAUUUAAAGAAAGCGUAAUAGCUCACUGGUCGAGUCGGCCUGCGCGGAAGAUGUAACGGGGCUAAACCAUGCACCGAAGCUGCGGCAGCGACACUAUGUGUUGUUGGGUAGGGGAGCGUUCUGUAAGCCGUUGAAGGUGUCCUGUGAGGGAUGCUGGAGGUAUCAGAAGUGCGAAUGCUGACAUAAGUAACGAUAAUGCGGGUGAAAAACCCGCACGCCGGAAGACCAAGGGUUCCUGUCCAACGUUAAUCGGGGCAGGGUGAGUCGACCCCUAAGGCGAGGCCGAAAGGCGUAGUCGAUGGGAAACAGGUUAAUAUUCCUGUACUUGGUGUUACUGCGAAGGGGGGACGGAGAAGGCUAUGUCGGCCGGGCGACGGUUGUCCCGGUUUAAGCGUGUAGGUGUGUGUUCCAGGUAAAUCCGGUUCACUUUAACACUGAGGCGUGAUGACGAGGCNNNNNNNNNNNNNNNNNNNNNNNNNNNNNNNNNNNNNNNNNNNNNNNNNNNNNNNNNNNNNNNNNNNNNNNNNNNNNNNNNNNNNNNNNNNNNNNCCCGUGGAGCUGAAAUCAGUCGAAGAUACCAGCUGGCUGCAACUGUUUAUUAAAAACACAGCACUGUGCAAACACGAAAGUGGACGUAUACGGUGUGACGCCUGCCCGGUGCCGGAAGGUUAAUUGAUGGGGUUAUCCGUAAGGAGAAGCUCUUGAUCGAAGCCCCGGUAAACGGCGGCCGUAACUAUAACGGUCCUAAGGUAGCGAAAUUCCUUGUCGGGUAAGUUCCGACCUGCACGAAUGGCGUAAUGAUGGCCAGGCUGUCUCCACCCGAGACUCAGUGAAAUUGAACUCGCUGUGAAGAUGCAGUGUACCCGCGGCAAGACGGAAAGACCCCGUGAACCUUUACUAUAGCUUGACACUGAACACUGGUCCUUGAUGUGUAGGAUAGGUGGGAGGCUUUGAAGUGUGGACGCCAGUCUGCAUGGAGCCAUCCUUGAAAUACCACCCUUUAAUGGCUGGUGUUCUAACGUGGGCCCCUAAUCGGGGUUGCGGACAGUGUCUGGUGGGUAGUUUGACUGGGGCGGUCUCCUCCCAAAGAGUAACGGAGGAGCACGAAGGUUAGCUAAUCCUGGUCGGACAUCAGGAGGUUAGUGCAAAGGCAUAAGCUAGCUUGACUGCGAGAGUGACGGCUCGAGCAGGUGCGAAAGCAGGUCUUAGUGAUCCGGUGGUUCUGAAUGGAAGGGCCAUCGCUCAACGGAUAAAAGGUACUCCGGGGAUAACAGGCUGAUACCGCCCAAGAGUUCAUAUCGACGGCGGUGUUUGGCACCUCGAUGUCGGCUCAUCACAUCCUGGGGCUGAAGUAGGUCCCAAGGGUAUGGCUGUUCGCCAUUUAAAGUGGUACGCGAGCUGGGUUUAGAACGUCGUGAGACAGUUCGGUCCCUAUCUGCCGUGGGCGCUGGAGAAUUGAGGGGGGCUGCUCCUAGUACGAGAGGACCGGAGUGGACGCAUCACUGGUGUUCGGGUUGUCAUGCCAAUGGCACUGCCCGGUAGCUAAAUGCGGAAGAGAUAAGUGCUGAAAGCAUCUAAGCACGAAACUUGCCCCGAGAUGAGUUCUCCCUGAGACUUUAAGUCUCCUGAAGGAACGUUGAAGACGACGACGUUGAUAGGUCGGGUGUGUAAGUGUAGCGAUACAUUGAGCUAACCGAUACUAAUGAACCGUGAGGCUUAACCUUACAACGCCGAAG
rnacentral:rRNA from 1 species